rnacentral:rRNA from 1 species
CCGGGGGGCGGCAGCAGUGAGGAAUAUUGGUCAAUGGCCGAGAGGCUGAACCAGCCAAGUCGCGUGAGGGAAGACGGCCCUACGGGUUGUAAACCUCUUUUGUCGGGGAGCAAAGCGAGUCACGUGUGACUCAUUGAGAGUACCCGAAGAAAAAGCAUCGGCUAACUCCGUGCCAGCAGCCGCGGUAAUACGGAGGAUGCGAGCGUUAUCCGGAGUUAUUGGGUUUAAAGGGUGCGCAGGCGGAGGUGCAAGUCAGCGGUCAAAUUGCGGGGCGCAACCCCGUACUGCCGUUGAAACUGCAGCCCUUGAGUGCGCGAGAAGUAUGCGGAAUGCGUGGUGUAGCGGUGAAAUGCAUAGAUAUCACGCAGAACUCCGAUUGCGAAGGCAGCAUACCGGCGCGCAACUGACGCUCAUGCACGAAAGCGUGGGUAUCGAACAGGAUUAGAUACCCUUGUAGUC